AUUGAACGCUGGCGGCAUGCUUUACACAUGCAAGUCGAACGGUAACAGGCCGCAAGGUGCUGACGAGUGGCGAACGGGUGAGUAAUGCAUCGGAACGUGCCUAGUCGUGGGGGAUAACGCAGCGAAAGCUGCGCUAAUACCGCAUACGAUCUAUGGAUGAAAGCGGGGGAUCAUAAGUCCUCGCGCGAUUGGAGCGGCCGAUGUCAGAUUAGGUAGUUGGUGGGGUAAAGGCUCACCAAGCCAACGAUCUGUAGCUGGUCUGGGAGGACGACCAGCCACACUGGGACUGAGACACGGCGCAGACUCCUACGGGAGGAAGCAGUGGGGAAUUUUGGACAAUGGGCGCAAGCCUGAUCCAGCAAUGCCGCGUGCAGGAAGAAGGCCUUCGGGUUGUAAACUGCUUUUGUACGGAACGAAACGGUCCGGGUUAAUACCCUGGGCUAAUGACGGUACCGUAAGAAUAAGCACCGGCUAACUACGUGCCAGCCGCCGCCGUAACAC
rnacentral:rRNA from 1 species